UGUGCGAUAACAGACCGGAAGUCGUUGAAUUUCCGCAAACUUGACUACAGUGAUGGGACAAGAACGCGAUUCAAAGAAAGGAGGGAUGACACUGAGGUGAUCAGACAGAGGUAGAGAGCAGCGGCGGAACUGGGCUCCACGGGCAGAGACGACGCGACGGUAGCGACGAGGACCGAGUCCGGGAGGAGAGCGCGGAGGACAGCCAGCCCGGCCGGCCGGACAGCCGCCCUCCAUCUUCCGUUCCAGCGACCUCCGUCGGAGCUCCGUCCGCAUCGCCGCUCCAAGCAGAGCAUCUUGGAAAAGGCACAGAGCGGGCAGUCCUUCCUGGGAGGAAGAGAUUUCUCUGCUGAUUGUGACCCAGUUGGAUUCAGAGGAUGGACGUUUUGUUGGGUUUGCUUUUCCUCAGUUCUGCCGCUCUGAAGGCAGCUGUAGGAAACGUGUGUGUGUCGGGUCACGACAGAGGACCAGUGUUUGAAGAGCAGCCAAGCAGCUUAAUUUACCCAGAGGGCUUGACUGAAGGCAAAAUAACUCUGAGCUGCCAGGCUAGAGCCAGUCCACCCGCAACCUACUCGUGGAAACUGAACGGCACAGUCCUGGAGCUGGGGUUGAGCCGGCUCACUCUGGUGGCUGGCAGCCUGGUGAUCAGCAGCCCUGACAGUUCCCAAGAUACCGGAUCGUACCAGUGUCUGGCUAAGAACCCGUGUGGGACGAUCAUCAGCCGAGCUGCUAAUCUCAAGUUUGGCUACCUUCAUGACUUCCCUCCUGACAGCAGGACGUCACAAACCGUGUUUGAAGGCGCCGGCACUUUCCUUGCCUGUCAUCCGCCCCCACAUUACCCAGCUCUGUCCUAUCGCUGGUACUUCAACGAGUUUCCCAACUUCAUCAGAAAGGACGACGGACGCUGGUUUGUGUCGCAAGUCACUGGGAACCUGUACUUGGCCAAAGCAGAGUUAAAUGACACUGGGAACUACUUCUGCUUUACUACCAUCAAUAUGGACAUCAGCACCAAAAGCACUUUUAGCAAGGGCAGCCUGCUCACUGUAAUGCCAGAUGCCAAUCCCAGGAGGUCAGCACCAAGCAUCAGACUGCGCUUCCCAGCGGAGACUUACGCCCUUGCUGGACACACCGCCCAGUUGGAAUGCUUUGCGAACGGAAAUCCAGUCCCAAAGCUUCGGUGGAGGAAGGUCGAUGGUUUAAUGCCGUCCAAAGCAGGCUCCUCUACACAGAGUCACACCCUCACCCUACCUGAACUCUCUUUUGAUGAUGAGGGAAUUUAUGAGUGUGAAGCCUACAACUCAGAAGGACGUGACACAUUCCAGGGACGCAUCAUUGUGCAAGCUCAGCCGGAGUGGUUGCAGGUGAUGAGCGACUCGGAGGUGGAGAUCAGCUCAGAGCUUCACUGGAGCUGCUUAGCUGCUGGAAAACCUCGACCCGCUGUCCGCUGGAUACGCAACGGAUUGUUUCUCACCACACAGGAUCGGGUGAUGGUGAACGGAGCGCAUCUGAAAAUCAGCAACCUGGCCCUGGAGGAUUCAGGGAUGUACCAGUGUGUGGCUGAGAACAAACACGGCACUAUUUAUUCAUCUGCCGAGCUGAGGGUCCAAGUCCAGGCUCCGGAUUUCAGGCUGAAACCAGUGAGGAAGCUGAUCCCGGCGGCCAGAGGCGGCCAGGUGGUGAUCGAGUGUCGCCCUCGUGCGGCACCAAAGCCCAUCCUGUUCUGGAGCCGUGGGACGGAGCUUCUGACCAACAGUAGCAGAAUCACAGUAACUCCAGAUGGCACGCUGUGGAUCUACAACAUCAGCCGGGCAGAUGAAGGAAAAUACACCUGCUUUGCUGAGAACUACCUGGGCAAAGCCAACAGCACCGGACACCUGUCUGUCAGAGAUGCCACCAAAAUCACACUGGCUCCCUCCAACGCUGACAUCAACCAGGGGGAGAACGUGACGCUGCAGUGCCACGCCUCCCAUGACCCCACCAUGGACUUGACCUUCACCUGGGCCCUCAACGGGGUUCCGCUGGACCUGGAGAACUCGGCUGGGCCGUUCCAGCGGGUGGAGGCGAAGGAAAACAUCGGCGACCUGCUGAUUGUAAACGCUCAGCUGAGUCAGGCCGGAAUAUUUACCUGCACAGCUCAGACUGUGGUGGACAGCGCUUCUUCUUCUGCUAAACUGGUUGUGCGAGGACCCCCAGGACCACCCGGUGGUCUGCUGGUGAAGAACGUGGCCGAGACGUCGGUGGAACUCAAGUGGAGCCGUGGCUAUGACAACCACAGUCCCAUCGGCAGAUACGUCAUAAUGGGUCGAUCGUCUCUCUCGUCAGAGUGGAGGAAGAUGAUGACAGAACCAGCGAACAUCGAGGGGAAUGCAGAGUCGGCGCGGGUGACCGGAUUGAUUCCCUGGAUGGAUUAUGAAUUCCAGGUCAUCGCCAGCAACAUUCUGGGCAGCGGGGAGCCCAGCAUGCCGUCCCACGUCAUCCGCACAAAGCAAGCAGCACCUACGGUGGCCCCAAGUGGACUCGGUGGAGGGGGAGGAAACCGCAAUGAACUGAUUAUUACCUGGACGCCCAUGGCCAGGGAGUACCAGAACGGGGACGGCUUUGGCUACAUCCUGGCCUUCAGGAAGAAAGACACGCCACCGUGGUCGGAGGUGCAAAUCCCGCAUGUCGAGUCCUCCCGCUACGUCUACUACAAUGAAAGCCUGACGCCUUACACUCCUUUCGAAGUAAAGAUCAAAGCGUAUAACCGCAGAGGUGAAGGUCCGUUCAGCCAGAUCUCAGACGUCUACUCCGCAGAGGAAGAGCCAACUGUGAGACCUUCAGGCAUCAACGCCACAGCACUGUCAGCCUUUGAGAUCCAGGUGUCAUGGGAACCCAUCCAGCCGCUUAGCAAUGGCAUCCUACGAGGAUAUGAGAUCCGAUACUGGCGGCAGCACGAGAGAGAGGCGGCCGCGGACCGGGUGAGGACGGCCGGGCUGCAGCCGACGGCCCGGGUGUCCGGCCUUCGACCGAGCACGCGGUACAACGUGGCCGUUCUGGCGUACAACAGCGCCGGCACGGGGCCUCCGUCGCCUCGUACCGCCGUCACCACCAGGAAACCACCUCCCAAUCGUCCUCCGGGCAACGUGUCAACUGAAACCAAAGGCUCUGAGGUAACGCUGAAGUGGAGUCAUGUGACGGCGAUGCACAACGAGUCAGCCGUGUUGGGCUAUAAGAUUCUGUACAGACACGAAGACCAGACUGUAAUGAAGUUUCUGGACAAGUCGAAGACGUCAGUGACUCUGCCGCUAACUAAAGACUACGGCUACACGCUGCUGGAGAUCCGGACGUGGGGCGAGGGCGGAGACGGGCCGUCUCAGGAGGUUAUCGUGUCCCAGGACCCUGGAACCGGAAUGAUGGUGCAGAAGGACGCCUCCUCCGCCCUGACCAGCUCCCUCCUCCACAUGGCCACCGGCCCGGUUCUGUUGGCCCUCAGCCUCCUGUGAUCCUGUCUGUUACUGUUAGUGAAGCGAAGGCUGCAGGUGGACUUUAGAUUUCAUUCCUAAUAAUGACAGUUUUAACAUCUCAAUGCAGUGGAGAGAACCAGAACUUACCGCUCUGGGUUCUUUAUGAACAUAAGCUCUUAAGGUACAAACAGAACCGAGUGAGUGGAUGGUCAGCAUUGUUAACUUCUAGAUGUGUGAUCUGAAAUUCACUCUAAGAGCAGCUAUCUACAUCGUUUAAUUUGGCAAAAAUCUUUCAUCUGCUGCAGUUGUUUUCUGCAUGCCAGGUCUCACUGUCUUCCUGUUAUCCUGGACAUGCAUGGAGCAGCGUAACCCGACGGAAUGAAGGCUGCAUGUUGUUCCCUCCAUCCCCUCGUCUCCACCCCAACGCCGCUGCAACUCCAUCUUUAGAGAGGAGGGUCUUAAUUGUUUCUGCAAAACCAGGGCCUGAGCACAUGCUUUAAACUGGUUAAAGUUGAGUUGAAGCUUUUAACUUUAAAAUAUUUUUAUAUAUAUAUAUGUUUUGUUUUUUUACUUUUUGCCCUAAUAAGCAUGGCAUUUCUGGGGUUAAUAUGGUUUCACUCUGCAUUCACAGAUAUUUUAGGGAGGAUGAUUGGACAGCUGGGGCGGUCAGCUCUAAAAAUAUUGUGGCCAUUCUGAAACCAAGAAAAUCAGAAUUUUGUACUCUGAUGAAAACGAAGAGUUUUGUGUAACAAACCGCUGUAGCCGCCAGGUUAGUGCCUCAGCACGGCAGAAGAAAAUGAUUUGUUUCUGUUGCGCUCGUAUUUCAGAUUAGCUCAUGGUAGCAAGUGUUAAUGCAGAAUAUAGGCUUUUGUCUUUAAGUAAAAAAAAAAGUUGACGCCUUCAAAACAACAACUUAAGUUCCCGUAGAUUAGAAAAAUAAAUGUCCUUUCUGCCAUUUGCUCUGACCGCAGCAAUCGGACGGACCUCUAAACUGACUCGCUUUGUUUGUGUUUUUGUCUCUGCUGUACCGCAGCAGACAGCAGAACAUGUUCGCUCUUUUUAUCAGUGAUGGAUUUGUGCCUGCAGUGUAAAAAAAAAACGUUCAUGUUCGAUGUGUUUAUUGCCGAUCGUUUUCUGCCGAUAAGGCUAAUCAGAGGGAGAGAUGACAGAGUCGUCAGGACUACUGAGCUGUGGUCAGGCCACCGGCGCUGACGCAACACGUCUGAUCCUCUGCGGUUCCCAGAACCCACCGAGCCUCUGGAACGCUCGCCGCCUUCUGUCGUUUCUGACGGUUCUUGCUGUUAUUUAUUUAUUUUAUUUUUUUUGCCUUAUUUAUUUAAAUGUGUUGAUUUUUAUUUAUAUAUUUCUUGUUUUGCCGAGAACUGUAUUUUUUUUUAUAUAUUUGCGCCAUUUUUUUUGGUCAAUGUUUGCACCAUCUUUUAUUUGUUAUGCAGGAUUUUGUUCAGGGGUGUCCAAAGUGUGGCUGGGGGGCCAUUUGUGGCCCAAAACAUUUAAAAUGGUCUGUUUUGCUUAGGUAACAGUCCAAAGUCCUUUUUGUGUUUUAGAUCUUCGAUUACAUUCAUAUUUCAUAAAAGUUUGUUUAUUGUUGAAAAGGUGAAAGAAUAGACAAAAAAAUCCCAAUACAUUUUUUUUCUUUCUUUUUUUUUAUUUCAUGAAUCUUGUGACUCAUCAGUAGUUUAAAUUGGCCCGUUUGGACCCAGAGCUGCUGUUCUGUAACUUCUGCGCUGACUGGAAAAUGGGAUUAUAGCCUAUUUAUCAAAACAUCAGUGCAUAGAGCAGAUUUGAAACGUUCUGGUUUUAAUUUAAAGCUGCAAUUCUGCUCAUAACAAUUAUGAUCCAAGACGUUUGGCUGAUUUUAUCAUUUGAAUAAACGGCAGCUAUUACUGAUAGUCUUCUGUGACCAUUAGCCUCUGAUCUGAGUCCAUAAACUGGCAGGAAGUUAUACAACAGCCUGUUUCUGCAUCCUGUUUGUGCCCCUAAGCUUUCAUCUGAAGCGGUCGGCAAAGUUUGGGUCCGCUUUCUCUUCAAGUGAAGACUGAAGCACUUACAAGAAAAUGAGCCUGGUGCAAAUGUUUCCGUCAAACUCUAGAUGAAGUCCUAGUUAGACUUAAACUAUACAGGUGAUUUUACGAGUCUGACCUGUUGUCAACCUCUGUUGAAAACGAGAUCUAGAUCUCAACGGGGUUUACCCGAUUAAAUGAAGGAAUAUAAAUAUAUAACCUGCAGUCUUUAUAUAGUGACAGAAUUGUGAAGGAAGACUGCAGAGUUAAUAUUUAAAUCAAAUGCAAAAAAAGGGUAGAAAUGUCCCCUUUUUGUCAGUUUUGAAGGCAAACCUUUAGUUUAUCGUUGAGUUGUGCCUAAAUCCUUGAACGUCUUCGUAUUUAAAUGGCUUUGACGGCCAGACUUGUUUACUUUGCUGGUGGUUGGAUAAUAGACUUCUUGAUUGUACACAUGCAAAUGCUUUAUUAGGUCAUUUCAACAUAUUUUGUGUUGCUGUUUUAUGAUUUUGAGUCAGUCAGUUUGUGAUGUAACAGGAAACGUUUCCUGUAGUCAGCGAUGCGUAGGGGUGGUGGUGGUGGUGGCAGAUGAGUGCAGUGUAAUGUUGCUGCUGGUUGUCUCCAGCAGUGGGUGUGAAGUUAAAACCUGGGAAACUUUUUCUAUAUUAGCUGGGAAAACAAUGAAAACCAGAUUAUUUUCUUCUUGACAUAUGUAAUCUAUAUUCCUCUUAGUGCUUACAUUUUCUGAAGACAGUAGGUUGCCAUUUUGCCUAAUAGUUUUUAAUUUGGGCUCUACUCUGAGGCAACGUGACCCACCAUUCAACCCCUCAUCCAGAACAGCUUAUGAAAUACAUAACCUGUUUAUACACGACUUUUAACGCCUGCUCUGUCUUCCACUCCCAAAUGUAAAGCAUCACACAGCAGUUGUCAGAACCACUGAAUGUAGUUAUGGUGUGUGUCGUUGUGCUUUAUACUCUGUACAGUGUUGUUUUUUUGUGUUUUUUUUAUGCCUUCAGUGUUCAACGCAGAGCCAUAAGGAUGUGUGACCAUAUAUGGGAGCGCUGGCCAAACAGACCUGGCUGUAUGCUUAGAGUUUACCUGCCUUCAGGUGGUUCCAGUCACGAGCUUGAAUCAGUUCUGGCUUAUUUUGCCUUUGGGUCUUUAUUAUUUUAUUUUAUUGUAACUGAAUGGAAGAGGCAAGAAGGUUGCUACAUGUAAAGCUGUUUUUAAAUAAACACAUUGGAAUUAUA